UACGAAGGGGGCUAGCGUUGCUCGGAAUUACUGGGCGUAAAGCGCACGUAGGCGGUCUUUUAAGUCGGGGGUGAAAUCCUGGAGCUCAACUCCAGAACUGCCUUCGAUACUGGAAGACUUGAGUCCGGGAGAGGUGAGUGGAACUGCGAGUGUAGAGGUGAAAUUCGUAGAUAUUCGCAAGAACACCAGUGUCGAAGGCGGCUCACUGGCCCGGUACUGACGCUGAGGUGCGAAAGCGUGGGGAGCAAACAGG
rnacentral:rRNA from 1 species